rnacentral:rRNA from 1 species
CCCGUCACGCCAUGGAAGUUGGUUCUACCUGAAUUGAGUGAGCUAACCGCAAGGAGGCAGCUCAACACGGUAGGGUCAAUGACUGGGGUG